AACCUUAUGGACCUGCGGGCGUAUACCUGCGGAGGGAUCAUUACAAGUGACCCCGGUUUACCACCGGGAUGUUCAUAACCCUUUGUUGUCCGACUCUGUUGCCUCCGGGGCGACCCUGCCUUCGGGCGGGGGCUCCGGGUGGACACUUCAAACUCUUGCGUAACUUUGCAGUCUGAGUAAACUUAAUUAAUAAAUUAAAACUUUCAACAACGGAUCU
rnacentral:misc_RNA from 1 species